UUUUUUUAAAUAAAUCUCCCGAAAAAUUCCACGGCAGAGAAAUUGCCGAUAACAAGAAUUGUUGCUAUGCAUAUGGACCCAUUCAUUCAUCUCCCCCACACGAAAUUGCGAGGACAAUAAUUUUAUCCAUGCAUGACCCAUUCAACCAUCUCUCGCCCCCUAUAAAUAAAGAAGAUUCAUCACCAUCCAUCACCCCAACCUUCUACUUUCCCUAAAGAGUAACGAGUCCUUUGAUCAUCCCUUAAUCUGAUGGCCCAUAAGAAGACUUCAAUCCAUAUGGUGAUUGUGGUCAUGGCACUGCUUGUGCUAAGAAGCAACCGUGCACAUGCGAGCAGUUUCACGGCGUAUGCUGGGCCCGGGUGCAACGGCAAUUCGGAGCAGCUAAACCAGUGCGGGUGUUCCACCGUUCACUUAAGCGGCGGCUACAUCUUCACCUACGACGGGCAGGCCGGUGCGGCGUUCAACGACGCCAGUUGCAAUGGGGUUCCGCAAAUCCAGUUUGGAACCAGCGUCAACGGCUGCGGCCCGUUUGGAUGGCAGAGUAUCUUCAUACAGUGCUGAUGGAUGCUUAGACCACCGUCGAUGGAACUUUUAUGUUAUCUAGUGCAAUGGGCAUGGCACAUUAGUGCCUAUCUUCAUACAGUGCUGAUGGAUGCUUAGACCACCGUCGAUGGAACUUUUAUGUUAUCUAGUGCAAUGGGCAUGGCACAUUAGUGCCGUCCUCAAAUAAAAAUACGCACCCCGCUCAUGGUAGAUAGGUCUUGUUACAAGCCAUUGUAUCAAGCGUAUGGGUGAGUUCUGAAUAAAGCACGUGACCUUGGAAUUCUA